rnacentral:rRNA from 1 species
AUUGAACGCUGGCGGCAGGCUUAACACAUGCAAGUCGAGCGAGCGGCGGACGGGUGAGUAAUGUCUGGGAAACUGCCUGAUGGAGGGGGAUAACUUCUGGAAACGGUAGCUAAUACCGCAUACCAUCAGAUGUGCCCAGAUGGGCUUAGCUAGAAGGUGGGGUAAUGGCUCACCUAGGCGACGAUCCCUAGCUGGUCUGAGAGGAUGACCAGCAACACGGGAACUGAGACACGGUCCAAACCCCUCGGGAGGGCAGCAGAGGGGAAUAUGGCACAAUGGGCGCAAGCCUGAUGAAGCCAGGCGGGGUGUGUGAAGAAGGCCUUCGGGUUGUAAAGCACUUUCAGCGAGGAGGCGUUACUCGCAGAGGAAGCACCGGCUAACUCCGUGCCAGCAGCCGCGGUAAUAC